rnacentral:rRNA from 1 species
CUGCUCAAUGAUUUUUUAAAUUGCUGUAGUAUUUUGACUAUACAAAGGUAUUGUAAUAAGGCUUUAAUUGAGUGCUAAGAGAAUGGACUUUCAAGAAAUCUCUUUUUUCAAAUGAAAAAUAGAAAUUAUUUUUAUUUGUGAAGAAACAAUAAUUGAAAUUUAAGACAAGAAGACCCUAUGAAUUUUAAUCGAUUUAUUAAAUUUAAGUAAAUUAAAAGCCAUUUAAUUGGGGCGAUUAAAUAAUAUUAGUAACUUUUAUAAAUUAAAGUUGAUCCAUUAAUAAUGAUAACAUGAAAUAAAUACUCUAGGGAUAACAGCGUAAUAAUUUUAGAUAGCUCUUAUAGAAAAAAUAGUUUGCGACCUCGAUGUUGGAUUAGGAUACUUAUUUAAUGAAGAAGUUAAAAAAAGAAGUUUGUUCAACUUUUAAAAUCCUACUUGAUCUGAGUUCAGACCGG